UCCUCUAAGUAACCUGUUCCAGUGCUUCACCACCCUCAUAAGAAGAAAGGCUUUCCUAACAUCCAACUUAACCCUCCCUUGCUGGACUUUGAGCCCAUUGCACCUUGUUCUGUCAUCUGUGGCUACUGGGAACAGUUCAGCUUUGUGCUCCUUGAAACCACCCUUCAGGCGAGAGGCUGUGCGGGUGGUGUCCUUAAACAGUCUGUGCCAGUGGACCCUCUGCUGCGUGAUCUUUGCCAUCUCUUCACCACCCUCUCCUAUUGCCUUCUGGGAGUGUGUCUGCGGCUUGCUCAGCCCCGUUUUCACACAAGUCUCAACCGAGAGCUUCAUGCGUCAGGAGAUCAGACAGCUUCUGGUCUUGCACAGGGCACUGCUGACAAGAGACAAACCGAUCCCCGGGAGCUGAUGGGCACCACUGGUGUUCAGUCCGGUGCCUGUACAGCGCUGCCUCUCUGCUCAUGAGUUUGAGCACUGCCGUCACCCGCCAGAGCUGCUUUACUUUCUUCCACACCUGUUGGAGUACGGCACAACCACAGACGAUGGCCAAUGGUUUCUGCUUUCUAGAGGCAGGUUUCUCUGGGGCAGCAGGGUUGGCUUCUCCGCCAGACUCUGGUCUCCAGGUGGGUCACCGCUGAGUACGGAUGUUCAAAGCAGGACCUGGUUCACCAACAAGGCUGAGACUGGGGAUGUUCAUGAUUUAACCCCUUCAUGGCAUCCCAAAUGGGCCUAGCCUCUGGAUGAACCAACACAGGAUUGAACCCAUUGUUCCUGAUGCUUGAGCAUCUAAUUUGAAUCCUGCUCCAACCUGCAUCCAUUAAUACAUCAAUGUUGCCUAGUAUUGCUCUCCAACUGAGGGAUAAUAAAGCAUCAGAGAGGAGGAGGAGGAUCUGCCCCUCUGCAUUGCUUGGGGUUCAGGAAGGAAGAGGAUCCCCCUGAGACACCUAAGCACCAUGGCAAUGGUUGGUGGGGCACUGGGGGCAGGACCUGGCCCAGUGUCCCUGCCCGACUAUGCUUCAACAAGGCCAGGCUCAGGCUGGAUUGUGAUGCAUGUCCUCUUUGCCAUCACAUUGCCGUGACGAUGGUGCUGGGGCAGAGAUAAAAGCAGAGCAGAGGAGUUUUCCUGCUCGCUCUGUGGUUGGCACAGGUGAGAAGAGUCAAGUUAGCGGGCUGUCGCAUUUCAUUGUAGCCGUAGUUGUCUUUUGUUUUUUCUUGUUCCAUGAUCUGUAUUGUUCAUCUUUAGUGUCUGUAGCCAGUAGUAUUAGCACUAUUGGGAA